AGGACGAACGCUGGCGGCGUGCUUAACACAUGCAAGUCGAACGGGGCACUUCGGUGCUUAGUGGCGAACGGGUGAGUAACACGUGAGCAACCUGCCCUUGGCUCUGGGAUAGCCUCCGGAAACGGGGAUUAAUACCGGACAGGACCCUGGUCUGCAUGGACCGGGGUGGAAAGUUUUUCGGCCAGGGAGGGGCUCGCGGCCUAUCAGCUUGUUGGAGGGGUAACGGCCCACCAAGGCGACGACGGGUAGCCGGCCUGAGAGGGCGACCGGCCACACUGGGACUGAGACACGGCCCAGACUCCUACGGGAGGCAGCAGUGGGGAAUAUUGCGCAAUGGGGGAAACCCUGACGCAGCGACGCCGCGUGCGGGAUGAAGGCCUUCGGGUUGUAAACCGCUUUCACCAGGGACGAAGCGAGAGUGACGGUACCUGGGGAAGAAGCGCCGGCUAACUACGCGCCAGCAGCCGC
rnacentral:rRNA from 1 species